UGGGGCUGCCCCCGGCGGUGGAGGGGUCUGGGUGCUGCGCCAGGCUUGGCAGGCCCGCCUCGCCUCCCGGAGGCUCCGUUUCAUGGCCAGAGGGAGGAAUUUGAACCCCGGGUCCUGCGCGGUGUAGUGCAGAGGUGCUGGGUGAGGUGGCACGGUGUGGGUGAGGGGGCCGUGCCUCCCCAUCACACACAUUCCUCUGGGUCACCCCUGACCUGGCUGCCCUUGCUUACAGUCAGGAAAGCCCGUGUUUUAGUCGGGGAUAAUGUGUAUUCUGUCCCUCUUCAAAAAUUCGAUCAUCCUGCCCGCGUUCGCUUUCUGCAGAGCAGCCUCAGUCCCAUCCCUACGCUUCUUUUCCUACCCUGGCCAUUUCCCUUCAUAACUCCUGUGGCACCUGGCCCUGUGUUGUCCACUCACACACACCCCAUCCAUGGCCUUUUAGCCGUCCUGUAUCCCAGGACAUGCAUUUCCCUCACGACUUCUACCUGGUGGAAGAAAGGCAGGGCAGCAAAUGCUGACUGCACUCCCCUUUCUGCCUGCUGUCUUCCUCCCAGGUGUGCCACUGCCUUUGCCGUGCCUUGCUGACCAUUCUUGACCCUGCUGGGAAAGCAGUGUGUGCCUGGUUGGUUUCCAGUUCUUCGUGUUUUCCCUUCAACACCCUGCCAGGGACGCAAAUCUGGAGUCAUGGCACUGUGUCCCAGUCCCAGCCCCUUCACCCUACUGGAAAAGCACAAAGGGGUUCCUGUAUGGUAAUGAAGUGGUAAUGAAAUGGUGUGAAUUGAGAUGCCCAGGAAUCAGAGGUGGCCUGUUGAAGGAAGGAUGGUGUGCGACUGAGUAGUCUGAACACAGCUGUAAAGUCUCUUGAAAUCACAGUGUAGGUCAAUGUAAUCUGAUUUUCCUUUUAUUUUAAUUAACAUAAAUCAUAAUCACUGCCAUGGCAACAUAGUGUGGAAACUAGUAAAAAGAAGGACGCUC